rnacentral:rRNA from 1 species
GUGUACGCACCAAGGCAACGAGGUGUUGAGCCCGCGAGCACUAACUGAUCGAGC